UCAGGGCCCUGGUGAAAAGAAGAACUCCCAGAAGGGAGAGGGAACUACUUGAGGGACCCUGAACCAGCAUGGGACAGAGGGCUGCAAAAGCCCAGGAAAAUAAGACCUCUGCAUUUCCUGGAGGGCCAUUUAAACAAAAACUCAACAAUGAGCCUUAUGAGAGAAGAAAAAUAAAACCAAGACAUUACUAUCCCAAUCCAUGCUUUUCAUAUCCACAUUCCCUUGAGAGUCAGUCUCAAAGAACAGAUGCAGAAUCUCAGACUCCUAGCCCAACAUCAACUACAGGAUCAUUUUUCCAAAUGUGGCAUCUAGCCUGGAAGUUUUAGCAAUGACAACACUUAGUGAAGAGGUAUACAGAGCUUCAGACAGAAGCCGCCUUAGUAGAGAAAUUCAUGAAGAAGGCCUGAGCUCUGAUAAAGUGGGCCCUUACUACCCCUUGGAGCUUCACUGAUGGCUUCUGGAUGGAAACUGCUUGUGCUUUCAUCUUUUGAUGUCUCUGCUAUAGCUAUAACAGCUGUGGUGACUAUCAAAGAAGGUACUUCUUUCUUAGUGGCUCUUAUGGCCUGUACAAGUAGGAAGAGAAUAUGGCAGGUGGAGAAGGUCAUCUUCAACUUCAGUAGGAGCAGUAUUAUACUUCAGUUUUGCCAAAGGUCAGCCUGGAGCCCUUCAAUUUUUGCAAGGCUUGAUGUUUUGAAACUGAGACCUUCAGGCAGAACCUUGAAGGGUGGAAACAGACAUCACCGUUGUACCAUCAUAAAUUUUACAGCAACAUAAAGUGAAAAAGAUGUCCAUACCUUCUGCUGCACUGCAAAUGCUCAAAUCUGUGGCUAUGACUGAAGGUAGUAUUAAAAUCAAACCUCUUUAUUGCAGACCACAUCUGUUUGCUUAUGAUGGAAGAGCUCAAGCUAUGUGAAGCUGCUUGGACUAUCCAGCCCUCGGGGGCAGGGGGCUUGAGGGGCAGAUUCAUCCCCCUCAAGCCCUGGAAGCACCUCGGUCCAGGGCAUGUGUCUGGGGAAGAAGGAAAACUCAGGGCUUCAGGGUGCAUGCCUGCAAGCAGGAGUUCCCACAUGCACUCAUGCAGUGCACAGGGAAAUCCCUCUGCAGUGGGAUCAACAGGUGCAGAUCACAGGCUGCAAGUGGGGAGGGGAAGGGAGCAUGAGUGUGAGGAAAUCCCCUGUGGAAAGAUUUCUCCACAAGCCUGCAAAGGCAUUUCCCUCUGGGCACCUGCAAAUGUAUAGGGCAGUAGCAGCCAAUAAUUUGGACCUGAGGGACACACAGGCAGUAUUGGUAAAGUCAUUGUAGGCCAGGUUGGCUCUCCACCAUGCAACAACUCACCAAAACUCCCUAUGGGGCUUGGUGGGUGGGGAACAGUGCUCAGGAGCAAGACAGGUGUGAUCCCUCUCUGCAUGCACUGCCAUUGGGGGGCAGACAGGUGGUAGAGGGUGUAUGGAAGGGGCAUCUGUGUAUGGGGGGGGGGGAGGAGAGGAGAGGAGAGGAGAGGAGAGGUGGCAGCUGCUGCCUGGGAGCCAGCCAGGGAGCAAAUGCAGCAGAGCUUGCCUAGUCAGUGGCCUGGCCCCGCAGCACUCCAUGUGGAGUCAAGCCCUGCCUAGGACAGCCCAUACCAUGGCUCCUGUCCCGGCCCCAGCCAGUGUACAGCUUCCAGCAGGGUUGUUCCCAGCACAGCUGCAGCUAACAGGGCCUGUACUGCCACAGGGAGGUGAAGGGAGCACAGCAGCACCUGGCCAGCUACAGCUGCACCAGGAACAGCCCCACCAGAAGCUCUGCGCUGGCCAGAGCCCAGGUUGACAGGGCUGUUUUGCUCCCCUUGCCUCUGGUUGCUGCUCCUGCCGUGCCACUCUAGACCAGGGGGAGCUUCAGCCAGGUGGCUCCUGCCCAGCACAUGGAGCUCCAGCUCCAGGCUGCCUUUCACCCACUUGCAGGUGGUUGAUCAUCGCAACAGGCACACAGAAUGGGUAAAAGGCCCAAAACAGCAUAGCAGAAGCAAGAGCACAGGCCACUGAAAUAAAUGUCUUCUGCCCCAAAGAUUAACUGAUCUGAUAUGGCAUUUAAAUGUUAUCUUGGCUUCAGAUCAAGUAUAGGCCCUUGCUUUACCCAGCCAAGAAAUAUGCCUGGGUUGAUUAUCAAGUUUUGUAAUCAGGCACUAAAGGAGAAGUCUUUCAGACACAAACUUUGGCCAAGUUAAGAACCAAGUUCUCACUAUUUUAAGUUUGUACUUUAAAAGUCUAUAAAGAUACCAAAAUAAAGGUCACUUUCAUAGUUUGUGUUUAAUUACCAUUGCCCACAGACAAGAUAGUGGAUUUUUAAAUUCCCAUCAUAUGCAAUGACUUGUUCAUUCC